UACGUAGGGUGCAAGCGUUACUCGGAAUUACUGGGCGUAAAGCGUACGCAGGCGGCUUUGCAAGACAGGUGUGAAAUCCCCGGGCCUAACCUGGGAACUGCAUUUGUGACUGCAUGGCUAGAGUUUGUCAGAGGGGGGUGGAAUUCCACGUGUAGCAGUGAAAUGCGUAGAUAUGCGGAGGAACACCGAUGGCGAAGGCAAUCCCCUGGGCCUGCACUGACGCUGAUGCACGAAAGCGUGGGGAGCAAACAGG
rnacentral:rRNA from 1 species